rnacentral:misc_RNA from 1 species
CCACUCGCACCCUUCACACAAGACAUUUCUACAUUGUCGUUUAUAUGUUUUGCGGUUUUAAUUGUUUUCCGAAUAUUUAUUAGCGGACGGACAGUUUCUCGCCGGUGUUUUCGCGUACCUCGGAGGGCGGGGCUCUUUUCUACCCGGCCGAAGGCUAAACAUUUAGUUAAAAGUGAAAUUGUGUUUAAAGUGAAGUUUUGUGGAGCUAACAAGGCUUGACCCCUUAGGACUUCAAUUUGGCAGUGGAGAGAAUCAGCUGAUGUCUCCCGCUGGUGGUGCCGCCUAGCGGACCUGUCGCGCACUACCUAGUGUGAAGUCUACAAUCACGGUGUGAGGUUGAACCGCUCCCCGUCGCGCUGUCGUACCCCUUGUCAUUUGAAUCUGUCACUUCAGUUUUUACAUAAUGGGUGCCAAAGCGAGUGUUUUACAGCAAGGAUUGCCCGAGCGCCAGAAUUCGGCGAGGGAACAACAGAGUUGCGGCGACGUCCACGGAGCCGGGGCUAGGGCCAUGAGCUGGUGACCACAGUCUACCCCCGCUCCCGCCAUGGGCAACAAGUUGAGCUGCUCCUGCGCGCCGCUCAUCAGGAAGGCCUACCGAUACGAGGAUUCGCCCUGGCAGACGUCGCGGAGGCGGGACGGUCACUUGCUCAGGUUAUGGGCGGAGGUUUUCCACGUGAGUGCGAGCGGCGCAGGCACAGUCAAGUGGCAGCAGGUGUCUGAGGACCUGGUGCCUGUCAACAUUACCUGCAUCCAGGACUCUCCUGAAUGUGUCUUCCACAUCACCGCCUACAACAGCCAGGUUGACAAGAUCCUUGAUGUCCGGCUCGUUCAGCCUGGAACAAGGAUAGGACAAGCAUCGGAAUGUUUUGUCUACUGGAAGGAUCCAAUGACCAACGACACUUGGGGCCUAAACUUCACUUCUCCCAUUGACGCUAAACAGUUUCGGGAAUGCUGCUCGUGGUGGAGUGGCUAUCUACCUGAGCUCAACAAGGGGGAAGCUCUCAUCAAUCGGAGGAAAUCACAGCCUCCCCCCUUGUUGCAAGUUUUGUCACCUUCUUUUAAAUUCUCGCGCAAAGCGUCUUCCUCCUACUCGCUCAAAUUGGAACCGCCGAACAAACAGAAUAAAGUGAAGACCAAACGCAAGCCGUUAAGUACACCUGCGUCUCCCAGUCGCUCGAGGGAGCCGCAGUGCACAUGUAUGACGGCUGACCAGUACGCAAGGCUACGAGCCCAGGAUCCUAGGUAUAGAGGGUCAUCAACGUUACCGAGAGCUCAGUCACGAGUGAGUGACGUUGCGGAUGGGCGAGUGUCGACACUGGGAGACAAGGUGACAGCAGCUACAAGUAGUACUUCGCUGUACGACAAUGUCAGCGGGAGGGAGGCCAACAAGCCAGCAGCCGCAGGCAACCGUCAGACUAGGGAUCGGGAGACCAGCACUCCUGGUGGCAAGCUCAAUAAUUCUAAUCACGCCACCACGCAGGUCCCCGCUCAAUCUCAGACUGAGGAGGGUCAAGAGACAAGUAAAAGUGAAGGAACACAGGCAGGUGGGACUGUGAGUAGCACCAAGAUGACGACUGGCACUUGCACACCGAGACUGACCAAAGAUGCUCAACCUAGCCAACAGCACAAGGCCACCGGAGGCCCCGACUACGCAGAGGGUACUGACAUGGUGCGAGAGGCAGAGCUGCGAGCGGCUAACAACAACAACAACAUUAACAACAUCAACAACAAUAAUCGUGGCCGAACAACAAACAAUAAUAAUAAUAAAAUGGGCAAGGAUGAUGUUCGUUCAGGAGGUGGAGGUAUGAGUGUGGAUUCGAACACGUUGAAGCGAAUGUUGAAGCCGAUGCCAUCACUGGAAAGCCCUGUUACCAGUCCUGAGAUGACAAGGCGCAGGUACAACUACUACAACCACCACGGCAACCUGCACUACAACCACCAUGGCAACAACACUUCCAACAACAACGCUCGCCACGUGUUGUCUGAGUCCGAGACAAUGUCACGUCAUAAGGGCAAUCGCUUCUCGGGCUCAAGGUCCUCGCAUGAGAUAGGUAGAGGACAGCGGGACUAUCAGGGGCGGGGGUUGUUCCUGGAACUAGAGAGGAACGGAGGGGGUGCGGGGACCGGGGGUGACAUCUCCCCUCCGUCUGACAACGUACUGUUUGACAAUCAAUGCUAUGCAACAACCCCUAGCUCAAGUAACGGAAACUCCGACCUGGACCAGCCGUCCCACAGACAAGGUAGAGGUUAUCAGCGAGAUCAGCAAAUGGGUGCUGUGAGCACGCCAAGCUCCCCCACCAGCCGGCUCCUGCUGGAGUAUGAGAUGCAUCUACGCAACACGUUGGCCAAGGGGAUGGACGCAGAGAGCUACAGCCUCCAUACCUUCGAGGCCUUACUCACUCAGAGCAUGGAGAACUUAGUUGUGGCUGGGGGAGGGACUGCGUACAUAGUACUUCUCAAGGACUUGAUCUCAUGGCUUAAAGGACGCACCAAUGUUCUCCCUGGCAUUGAAGUCCCCUCCCCAGCUACCACCUCCAAACAUAAACCGGAAUUUGCUGAACAACUACCUGGCGUGAACACUAGAAGUCCCUACCCAUCAAGGCGUCGUGUUUGCACAGGACCGGGCAGCAGUGCAAGUAUGAACAAGUCAUCGACACUGCCCUUACCUCACAGGCUGAACAUGGAGCGGCCAGCUAGCAGUGCGGAGAGGAGGGACAGAGACAGAGAUAGAGAAGGCUAUUAUAGUGACCGCAACGAACUCAUGAGAGAAAGAGACAGAGACAGGGGUUAUCUUAGUGAUCACAACUCUUCCAGCAGAGACAGAAGCAGAGACGGGUACUACAGUGACAGAAACGAACUCAUGAGGGAAAGAGACCGUGAAAGAGGCUAUCUCAGUGAUCACAAUUCUUCCAGUCGAUGUGCCUCAUGCUUGGGUGAGUCCGCGCGUGCUCAAUGGUUUCGGCACUCAGAUGGCUGGCGCUCGGGCAGCUCCACACUCGGCUCAGGCUCAGUGAGCAACUACCAGGGCAGUACAGGCGGCAGCAAACGCUCCCCUUGGGACUCCUUGCCCUCCUUGCGGCACGAGAACAGUCUGAAUGACAGCGGUUAUAAGUCGAACCGUGCCGACUCUUUCGAACAAAGAGGCACAUUUGAUCGCCAGGAUAGUUUGCGUUCCGAUUACAUGAGCGAUCGAGAAUCACGUUACGGUAUCGUGCAGCAAGCCUCCAUAGAGAGCACGGACUCGCGGCUUUGUUAUCUCACAUCAUCUGAGAUGUCGGAUGAUGACCGGAUGUCACUGACGACUGCUGUCAGUGACGAAGAGGACGCCGAGAGUGUACACAACUCGCCGUACCGCGCCAAACAGACCGGCACGGCCGCUGCCUCCUUCAACUGUACUGGGGCAGUCAGGAAAGCUGGAUUCCUCAGUGUCAAGAAGUGGCUAUUGCGCAAGAAACACCAAAUUGAGUUGGCACGCAAGCGCGGCUGGAAGGGCUACUGGGUGUGUCUGAAGGGCACGACUCUGCUAUUCUAUCCAUGUGAUUCUCGCGAAGGAAGAUCUGUUGAAGCAGCUCCCAAGCACCUCAUCAUUGUAGAUGGCGCUAUUAUGCAGCCUAUCCCUGAACACCCAAAGAGGGAUUACAUAUUUUGCCUAAGUACAGCCUUUGGGGACGCCUAUCUCUUUCAGGCACCGUGUCAGGUAGAACUUGAGAACUGGGUAAAUAGUAUCCAUUCGGCCUGUGCAGCUGCAUUCGCUAGACAUCGGGGCAAGACAGGGACUCUACAUCUGCUGCAGGAAGAAAUUUACAGGCUUGAAAAGGCAAUUGAGUCUGAUCACAAGCUGAAGCAUAUGGCAGAUCUGCAGCAGAGUGUAGUGUCUGAUCCUGACACCAAGCAGCAGAUAAACACCCAGAUUGUUCAGUGGGAGGAGAAUUUAGAACGGUUACAUUGCGAACAGUUCCGGUUACGGUGCUACAUGGCUAGCCUUCAAAACGGGGAACUUCCUAAUCCCAAGAGCUUACUGACGCACGUUUCACGCGCCACAAAAGGAACGUUAAACAAGCUGGGCGUGUUUACCGUUUCUUCGUUCCAUGCUUUCAUAUGUGCCCGUUCACCCUCAUUGCUCAAUAACCUGCUGGCCGGUCGAGGAGCCACCAAGCGCCGGCCUCCUAUGCUCUCUCGCUCCAACAGCGGUUCCAGCCGGCGCUCGCUACAGAUGAGCUCGAGAGACGAAUCGGAGAAAACUGUCAAAGUCUCAGUGCCAGAGAACCAAUUUGUUCAUGUGUUCCUGAGAGAAGCGAUGUCAGUGGAGGAGUUUCUGGCGAGCGCGUGCAGUCGGAAAAACCUCAAUCCCAUGGAACAUUUUGUGAGAGUGAAGAAAAGAAGGGAUAUGGAAGACCAUAAUUACUUUGUACCUCAUCGAACGGACUUAAUCGAGACUUAUCUGCACACACAUGAGAUCGUGGAGGUGUGUGCCAAGAUCCUGUACCAGGUGGAGUUGCAGCGAACGACACUGGAACACAUGUGGGGGUUCUCGGUAGAAGCAGAGCUGAUAGAAAAUGCUGACCGACAAGACGAACUGUGUUGCUAUGUCAGCCGAGUUGAGGACAAAAGUGUUGCCAUGCACAAUGGGAUCAUCAAGAGUGAUGAGAUCAUGGUGAUCAACGGAGCAAUCGUGAGCGACCUAGACAUGAUGUACCUGGAGUCGGUGCUACAGGAGGAGUUGUCACUCUGUAUGAUGAUGCGCUCGUCUCGCACCGAGCCCCCAGACCUGGCACCCGGCAUCAUGCGCUCCACUGAUAUGGAGAUCGAGAGCCUGGUCUGCCCCCCACCCCCAUCUGAUCCUCCAGUCAUCAGUGAGGAAAUGAUCUCAGGUCUCAUUGUUCCUGCUCCAGGCUGGAGUAAGGAGCUUUAUUCCCCUGAAGCGGAAAAUCCUCCUGCACCUCCCAGUGAAAGUGGCAAACAGACAUCUCGUGCCAACUCAUUUGAAAUUGAAAAUCUUUUGAAGACGGCAGAGCAAGUGACUGGAUUCUGUCGCUCGCCAGGGGAGACACGGAAGUCCAGUCCGACGGGAAGUGUAGUCAGCACCACCUCACAGGCCCUUCUUACUCCCAGUCGUCAGCUUACUGAUGCUGAGAAGUUGCGGAAGGUUAUCCUUGAACUCAUCGACACGGAACGCACCUAUGUCAAGCAUCUGAACAGCCUGUUGGAGAACUACCUGGAGCCACUAAAGAAGGAGACGUUUCUGUCACAUGCAGAGAUCGCAGCUCUGUUCGGCAACAUCCAGGAAAUUGUGGCUUUCCAGCGGCAGUUUCUCCAGAACCUGGAUGAGGCCCUGGAAAUGGAACCAGACUUCCACAAGUUUGAGCAUCCUAGUCAAUUUAAAAAUGUCCUCUUUUCAAUCGGCAGUGCUUUCCUUUAUUAUGUUAAUCACUUCAAGUUGUAUAGUUCAUUUUGUGCAAGUCACUCCAAAGCUCAAAAAGUUCUUCAUCCUAAUGAAGGUAACCAGGCACUUCAAGAGUUCCUAUCAGCUCGUAACCCUCGGCAACAGCACUCCUCCACCCUCGAGUCGUACCUCAUCAAACCUAUCCAACGAAUCCUGAAGUACCCUCUCCUCCUGCAACAACUACGAAAUCUUACAGAUCCGCAGUCAGAUCAGCAUUUACACCUUGUUGAGGCCUUAAAAGGAAUGGAGAAGGUUGCAGAGCAUAUUAAUGAAAUGCAACGAAUUCAUGAAGAGUAUGGAGCUAUAUUUGAUCAUCUGUUCCGACAACACCAAAAGUCAUGUAAACAACCCAUAGACCUCAGCCCAGGCGACCUGCUGUACUAUGGUGGUGUAGAGUGGCUCAACAUCUCCGACUUCUUGGGAAAAAUCAAGAAAGGCCUUGAACUUCAUGCCAUGUGUUUUGUGUUCAAAUCAGCUGUAGUUUUUCUAUGUAAAGAGCGGUUAAGACAGAAAAAGAAGUUAAUGAGUGUGGCUAGUAAAGGUAGCUCCAAUGAGGUAGAGAUCAUCCGCUACCAGGUGCUGAUCCCCGUGACGGAGGUGCAGGUGCGGGCCAGCUCGGCCAAGGAUAUGGAUUCACACUUCCUCUGGGAACUGAUACAUCUGCGGAGCCAGCUCCAGCGCCGAUCAGAGAAAGUUUAUGUCCUCUCCAACAGCACGGCAGAUUUCCGUAACGCCUUCUUGAAGACAAUACGACAAAUCAUCCGUGAGAGUGUGAGAAACAUGAGUAUUCCAGCUACGAAACCAGGAACAUCUCCUUCACAGCUGAUUAACAACACAGCAACACUCGGUCGCCAGACGGCCAGCAACAGUGCGGUUGUGAGGAGCAUUAGUGUCCACUUUGCUGGUUGUGAACAGGGUCCCACAAGGCCACCCCGGUCGAAACGCCGCAAACCAAAACCACUCCCGGAGGAGUCGUCAUCAUGCAAGGAUCCCACACCCUCGGCAAGCCGAAGAAACCACCGAAAGGGCCUCAGCGACAUUCCGCAGGAAACAUAGAUUACGACAAUCUGGAAUCUAGGGAACAAAUAGAACCACCUCAACCUAAUACCAACUUUAGAUCAAGAAGUAAAACAGUAUCCGAUGCUGUAGACGCAGAAAAAAACAAACACGACUGUGACCCAGGCACCAAGUCGGAGGGAGAAGACGAGAACAGCCAGUCGGGGACUAAGGGGAAGGCCACACUGGGGCGCACGCCCAACCACCUGACUCUGAGCACCACCUCCACUCUGUCC